rnacentral:rRNA from 1 species
AGUGAACGCUGGCGGUAGGCCUAACACAUGCAAGUCGAACGGCAGCACAGUAAGAGCUUGCUCUUACUGGUGGCGAGUGGCGGACGGGUGAGGAAUACAUCGGAAUCUACUUUUUCGUGGGGGAUAACGUAGGGAAACUUACGCUAAUACCGCAUACGACCUACGGGUGAAAGCAGGGGAUCUUCGGACCUUGCGCGAUUGAAUGAGCCGAUGUCGGAUUAGCUAGUUGGCGGGGUAAAGGCCCACCAAGGCGACGAUCCGUAGCUGGUCUGAGAGGAUGAUCAGGCACACUGGAACUGAGACACGGUCCAGACUCCUACGGGAGGCAGCAGAGGGGAAUAUUGGACAAUGGGAGCAAGCCUGAUCCAGCCAUACCGAGUGGGUGAAGAAGGCCUUCGGGUUGUAGAGCCAUUUUGUUGGGAAAGAAAAGCAGCAGGUUAAUCCCCCGCUGUUCUGACGGUACCCAAAGAAUAAGCACCGGCUAACUUCGUG